GUUAGAUAGUAGAAGGAUAAUUUGGGAGCAGGGGCAUGUAAGAACCGAAACUCGAGCAUCACGCUUUUCCAAGUGAAUAGCACAUGCAAAAACUUGGGCGCUGAGUGUUGAGCACGCGGUGAGAGUGGCGGACGGGCGAGUAACGCGUGAGCAACCAACCUUGCACUGGGGGAUAACGUCGGGAAACCGGCGCUAAUACCGCAUGACAUUACUGGAUCGCAUGGUCUUGUAAUCAAAGCUCCGGCGGUGCGAGACGGGCUCGCGUCCAAUUAGCUGGUUGGCGGGGUAAAGGCCCACCAAGGCGACGAUUGGUAGCCGAACUGAGAGGUUGAUCGGCCGCAUUGGGACUGAGACACGGCCCAGACUCCUACGGGAGGCAGCAGUGGGGAAUCUUGCGCAAUGGGGGAAACCCUGACGCAGCGACGCCGCGUGAAGGAAGAAGGCCUUCGGGUUGUAAACUUCUUUGAUCGGGGACGAAGCAGACGGUACCCGAGGAACAAGCCACGGCUAACUACGUG
rnacentral:rRNA from 1 species